rnacentral:hammerhead_ribozyme from 1 species
GCACUUCUGACGAGUCCCGAAAUAGGACGAAACGGCCGUCCAGUGC